GGGCCUUGCGCUAAUAGAUGAGCCUAAGUCGGAUUAGCUAGUUGGUGGGGUAAAGGCCUACCAAGGCGACGAUCUGUAGCGGGUCUGAGAGGAUGAUCCGCCACACUGGGACUGAGACACGGCCCAGACUCCUACGGGAGGCAGCAGUGGGGAAUAUUGGACAAUGGGGGGAACCCUGAUCCAGCCAUGCCGCGUGUGUGAAGAAGGCCUUUUGGUUGUAAAGCACUUUAAGCGAGGAGGAGGCUACCUAGAUUAAUACUUUAGGAUAGUGGACGUUACUCGCAGAAUAAGCACCGGCUAACUCUGUGCCAGCAGCCGCGGUAAUACAGAGGGUGCGAGCGUUAAUCGGAUUUACUGGGCGUAAAGCGUGCGUAGGCGGCCAAUUAAGUCAAAUGUGAAAUCCCCGAGCUUAACUUGGGAAUUGCAUUCGAUACUGGUUGGCUAGAGUAUGGGAGAGGAUGGUAGAAUUCCAGGUGUAGCGGUGAAAUGCGUAGAGAUCUGGAGGAAUACCGAUGGCGAAAGGCAGCCAUCUGGCCUAAUACUGACGCUGAGGUACGAAAGC
rnacentral:rRNA from 1 species